rnacentral:rRNA from 1 species
GAUGAACGCUGGCAGCGUGCCUAAUACAUGCAAGUCGAGCGAACAGAUGAGGAGCUUGCUCCUCUGACGUUAGCGGCGGACGGGUGAGUAACACGUGGAUAACCUACCUAUAAGACUGGUAUAACUUCGGGAAACCGGAGCUAAUACCGGAUAAUAUAUUGAACCGCAUGGUUCAAUAGUGAGAGACGGUUUUGCUGUCACUUAUAGAUGGAUCCGCGCCGCAUUAGCUAGUUGGUAAGGUAACGGCUUACCAAGGCUACGAUGCGUAGCCGACCUGAGAGGGUGAUCGGCCACCCUGGAACUGAGAAGCGGUCCAGACUCCUAGGGGAGGCAGCAGUAGGGAAUCUUCCGCAAUGGGCGAGAGCCUGACGGAGCAACGCCGCGUGAGUGAUGAAGGUCUUCGGAUCGUAAAACUCUGUUAUUAGGGAAGAACAAAUGUGUAAGUAACUAUGCACGUAUUGACGGUACCUAGUCAGAAAGCCACGGCUAACUACGUG